rnacentral:rRNA from 1 species
UACGUAGGGUGCAAGCGUUGUCCGGAAUUAUUGGGCGUAAAGAGCGCGCAGGCGGUCGUUCAAGUCGCGUGUGAAAGCCCCCGGCUCAACUGGGGAGGGUCACGCGAUACUGAUCGACUCGAAGGCAGGAGAGGGAAGUGGAAUUCCCGGUGUAGUGGUGAAAUGCGUAGAUAUCUGGAGGAACACCGGUGGCGAAGGCGACAUCCUGGACCGGUAUUGACGCUGAGGCGCGAAAGCCAGGGGAGCAAACGGG